rnacentral:rRNA from 1 species
UGUGUGAAUUAAGUACACAGUCUGGCCUGCCCCCUGAGUUGUUUAAAGGGCCGCGGUAUUUGAACCGUGCUAAGGUAGCAUAAUAAAUAGUCUUUUAAUUGAGGUCUAGUAUGAAUGGUCGGACAGGGGGUUAGCUGUUUCGGUUGUAUAAUUUGAACUUUACUUUUAAGUGAAAAGGCUUAAAUUUUGUGGUGGGACGAUAAGACCCUAUAAAGCUUUACAUUUUAGUUGUUAGUUAGGGAGUUUAUGGUUUUCUGUUCUUGUCAAUUAGUGUGUUUCGUUGGGGCGACGAGAAUAUAAAAAGUAACUGUUUUUUUUGGAAAAUAGGCUUUUCUAGUGGAGUUGAUCCUUUAUAAAGAUUAUAAGAAUAAAGUUACUUUAGGGAUAACAGCGUAAUUUUUCUUGAGAGUUCAUAUCGACAGAAAUAGUUGCGACCUCGAUGUUGAAUUAAGAUACCCCCAAGGUGUAGCAGUUUUGGUGGUAGGUCUGUUCGACCUUUAAAAUCUU